GGGGGCGUAGCUCAAUUGGUUAGAGCGCUGGCCUGUCACGCCAGAGGUCGCGAGUUCGAGUCUCGUCGCUCCCGCCA
rnacentral:tRNA from 1 species